rnacentral:rRNA from 1 species
UGAUUGAACCGCAUGGUUCAAUCAUAAAAGGUGGCUUUUAGCUACCACUUGCAGAUGGACCCGCGGCGCAUUAGCUAGUUGGUGAGGUAACGGCUCACCAAGGCGACGAUGCGUAGCCGACCUGAGAGGGUGAUCGGCCACACUGGGACUGAGACACGGCCCAGACUCCUACGGGAGGCAGCAGUAGGGAAUCUUCCGCAAUGGACGAAAGUCUGACGGAGCAACGCCGCGUGAGUGAUGAAGGUUUUCGGAUCGUAAAACUCUGUUGUUAGGGAAGAACAAGUACCGUUCGAAUAGGGCGGUACCUUGACGGUACCUAACCAGAAAGCCACGGCUAACUACGUGCCAGCAGCCGCGGUAAUACGUAGGUGGCAAGCGUUGUCCGGAAUUAUUGGGCAUAAAGCGCGCGCAGGCGGUUUCUUAAGUCUGAUGUGAAAGCCCCCGGCUCAACCGGGGAGGGUCAUUGGAAACUGGGGAACUUGAGUGCAGAAGAGGAGAGUGGAACUCCACGUGUAGCGGUGAAAUGCGUAGAGAUGUGGAGGAAC